rnacentral:rRNA from 1 species
UACGUAGGGUGCGAGCGUUGUCCGGAAUUACUGGGCGUAAAGAGCUCGUAGGUGGUUUGUCGCGUUGUUCGUGAAAACCGGGGGCUUAACCCUCGGCGUGCGGGCGAUACGGGCAGACUUGAGUACUGCAGGGGAGACUGGAAUUCCUGGUGUAGCGGUGGAAUGCGCAGAUAUCAGGAGGAACACCCGUGGCGAAGGCGGUUCUCUGGGACGGUACUGACGCUGAGACGCGAAAGCGUGGGGAGCGAACAGG